rnacentral:rRNA from 1 species
GACGAACGCUGGCGGCGUGCUUAACACAUGCAAGUCGAGCGGUAAGGCCCUUUCGGGGGUACACGAGCGGCGAACGGGUGAGUAACACGUGGGUGACCUGCCCUCAGCUCUGGGAUAAGCCUGGGAAACCGGGUCUAAUACCGGAUAUGACUCCAUGACGCAUGUUGUGGGGUGGAAAGCCUUGUGCGGCUGAGGAUGGGCCCGCGGCCUAUCAGCUUGUUGGUGGGGUGAUGGCCUACCAAGGCGACGACGGGUAGCCGGCCUGAGAGGGCGACCGGCCACACUGGGACUGAGACACGGCCCAGACUCCUACGGGAGGCAGCAGUGGGGAAUCUUGCGCAAUGGGCGAAAGCCUGACGCAGCGACGCCGCGUGAGGGAUGACGGCCUGGUG